GACGAGAAUUAUAUUUUACAUCCGAGAGGGGCUAUAAUUGAAGAUACUAUUGUUUCUGGUACAAAAGUUCCUAUAUCAAUGGGAAAUGCCCUACCCUUGAGUGCGGUUUGA
rnacentral:rRNA from 1 species